AAAACUAGCCAGUCUUUUGGGUAGGAAACCCAUUUGGGCGAGAGUAGUACUAGGAUGGGUGACCUCCUGGGAAGUCCUCGUGAAAGGGUUUC
rnacentral:rRNA from 1 species